UGAGAAGUGGAAGGAGGAGAAGGCAUUUUAACCAGAAGGGCAGGACUCACGGAGAAGUAGAAACUAUAUUUGAAGAUGAAAUUGCACUGUGAGAAGUAUUAUUGCUCUACUGUUAAUAAAUACAUAUGGGUUGAAG
rnacentral:lncRNA from 1 species